CCCAUCCUGAAUUGGCAAUUCCUAAACCUUGUGACAGCAGGCAAAACAUUCAUCAUCCAUGUCCUCAUCCUGAGCCAGAGCCAUCACCUUGUUCUGAAAGAGAUGUUCCUGAUUAUGAGUUUGAAAAGCCUGAAGCAGUUCAUACAGUUUUCAGCAAAAUCCUUGCAGCUCUUAAUGAGCCCAGCACCAACUAUGUACUGAGUUUUGCCAACAAGCUGUAUGGAAACAAGGACAUUGUCUUUAUCCAGGCCACCAGAGGGAACUAUUACUCUAAUGAUUACCUGUUCUACAACGUCCUUCACCAGAAAAAACAAGUGUUCUGAAACUAAGGAGAGACACUGAAUUCAAUGGGUCCCUCCGCCAAGCUACAUCUCUUCUGGCUUUCAGGAGGCAGUUUCUAGGAUAGGGGUUCUUGAAGCUGCAGCACCCAGAGCGGAUCCAGCACUUCAUACGCCUUCAGCAUGUUUGCCAACUGUUCCAGCCCAAAUUUCUUCUGUCACGCCUCCUGUUCCGAUGGCUGUUGAGCCUAUGCAAGUUCAGCUGCCUGUCUCGCGUGACGUUACCGCUUGUACUCCAGGGGCUUCCGUGUUUGCAGCACCGGACGUGGUUGCCUCACCUGAUGCUUAUACAGGUUUGGCAACCAUUCCAAUUCCAGUAAGGAUCGUCUUGUGUGGCUACUCAAUUUUGUUUUGGGCUCAUCGAAGGGCAUCCUCGUCAGUUCCUGGAACACAGCUGCAGCUUUCGGCCACAGCUACGGUUCAGUGGGAAGCCCGGAGGGGCAUGUUAUGGGAUGCGUUGCUGCCUAUUGUGUGCCUUAUCAUGUCCUUUUCUGAUAGGCCACACAUAUUGUUAAUUCAUUUGGGUGAAAAUGAUUUGGUGCAGCGUCCUGGGUUGAAUUUGCUGCUUAAGGUUACGCGUGAUCUCACGUGGCUUAUCCGCUCAUAUCCCACUCUUAUAAUUGUAUGGUCUGAAAUGCUUGUUAGAAGGGUAUGGAGGGGUGCAGUGUAUCCCAAUAAGUUAGAUAGAUCCAGGAAAUGGGUUAAUAGGAAGGUCAGGGAUUUAGUUUUGUCCCUUGGUGGGGCAGUUAUUCAUCAUGAUAGGAUCAAGUUCCAUGCCCCACAUCUGUUUCACGAUGACAGUGUUCAUCUUUCUGAUAAGGUUGUGACCUGUUUUUGGAGGAUCUUAUGGGGGGAUUAAAGGGUUUGUUAUCUUCUUUGGGUGGAGGGGACCAAGCUUAAGCUGAUCCCCUCUUGUGGCAUAGAAUUCGGGCAGGUGAGGUAGAUGGGGGUUAAAUUUAGGCGGUUAAGGCAUCAUGAAAAAGGGACACUCCCUAGGGAACCAUCAGGGCUUUGUGUCUGGUGGCGAUCUUGGUUGUGUCCUUGUGGGACCUGCUUGCGCAUCAUGGUGAACGCCUGUACGGCGGGGCCAUGGUGUGGAGGUUGGAACCACACAGAUGGCUCCAAGAGCAAGGAGGGAGGAUUUCACCCACGUCCUUGACUCUGGGGUGAAGUAAUGAAGAGAAUGGAUACCUUUAGAAGGUGAGGGCAUAAUCCCUCGUGGUUAGGUUUAGCCUCACCUGCCUGAAGAGGUGAAUAUUAGAAUAAUUGGCUGUAUUGCAUUUGAUUAGGAUGUUAUAUUUUAAUAAAUAUAACAUUAUUCCAGUCUUGUGUCACGAGUCUUCUUUGUGUGGGAGCAAUGGCGUUCCUGAUUAGGGGCAUAUUUGCUUCCACCAUAAUUAUGAGAAGACUUGGGAACAUUCUCGAAUCAAGCGUUGGAGCCACGUGAGACCGCUCAUCCAAUUAGGAAGGGCGCAGGGCAGCAGAUAUAAGGCUGCUCCGUCCUUCCCGCGCUUGCCUUUUUCGCCUUGCGGCACCCACCCUCCCUCCCUUGUCAGCAUGGGCUUUGCUGUUUGCCUGAAUGGGGCCAAGUAGGAAUUUUUUGGGGGGGAUCCUGAUUUCAGAAUCCCUUUGGUUUUGCCUACUCCAUACUGCUCGGGUUUAAUUCAAUUGGCUUCUCGGUUGGGUCGGGAUGCGUCUGCUUUGGCUGGCAUAGAAUUCGGGCAGGUGAGGUAGAUGGGGGUUAAAUUUAGGCGGUUAAGGCAUCAUGAAAAAGGGACACUCCCUAGGGAACCAUCAGGGCUUUGUGUCUGGUGGCGAUCUUGGUUGUGUCCUUGUGGGACCAGCUUGCGCAUCAUGGUGAACGCCUGUACGGCGGGGCCAUGGUGUGGAGGUUGGAACCACACAGAUGGCUCCAAGAGCAAGGAGGGAGGAUUUCACCCACGUCC